rnacentral:rRNA from 1 species
GACGAACGCUGGCGGCGUGCCUAAUACAUGCAAGUCGAACGGUCUUUUCUAUGGAAGCUUGCUUCCGCUGAGAAGAUAGUGGCGAACGGGUGAGUAACACGUGGGUAACCUGCCCAUAAGAGGGGGAUAACAUCCGGAAACGGGUGCUAAUACCGCAUAGUUUUCUUGAUCGCAUGAUUGAGAAAGGAAAGACGGCCUUUGUGCUGUCGCUUAUGGAUGGACCCGCGGCGUAUUAGUUAGUUGGUGAGGUAACGGCUCACCAAGACGAUGAUACGUAGCCGACCUGAGAGGGUGAUCGGCCACAUUGGGACUGAGACACGGCCCAAACUCCUACGGGAGGCAGCAGUAGGGAAUCUUCCGCAAUGGACGAAAGUCUGACGGAGCAACGCCGCGUGAGUGAAGAAGGUUUUCGGAUCGUAAAACUCUGUUGUCAGAGAAGAACAAGUCGGAGAGUAACUGCUCCGGCCUUGGCGGUAUCUGACCAGAAAGCCACGGCUAACUACGUGCCAGCAGCCGCGGUAACAC